rnacentral:rRNA from 1 species
UUUGAUCAUGGCUCAGAUUGAACGCUGGCGGCAGGCCUAACACAUGCAAGUCGAGCGGAUGAAGGGAGCUUGCUCCUGGAUUCAGCGGCGGACGGGUGAGUAAUGCCUAGGAAUCUGCCUGGUAGUGGGGGAUAACGUUCCGAAAGGAACGCUAAUACCGCAUACGUCUACGGGAGAAAGCAGGGGACCUUCGGGCCUUGCGCUAUCAGAUGAGCCUAGGUCGGAUUAGCUAGUUGGUGAGGUAAUGGCUCACCAAGGCGACGAUCCGUAACUGGUCUGAGAGGAUGAUCAGUCACACUGGAACUGAGACACGGUCCAGACUCUACGGGAGGCAGCAGUGGGGAAUAUUGGACAAUGGGCGAAAGCCUGAUCCAGCCAUGCCGCGUGUGUGAAGAAGGUCUUCGGAUUGUAAAGCACUUUAAGUUGGGAGGAAGGGCUGUAGGCUAAUAUCUGCGGUUUUGACGUUACCAACAGAAUAAGCACCGGCUAACUUCGUGCCAGCAGCCGCGGUAAUACGAAGGGUGCAAGCGUUAAUCGGAAUUACUGGGCGUAAAGCGCGCGUAGGUGGUUCGUUAAGUUGGAUGUGAAAGCCCCGGGCUCAACCUGGGAACUGCAUCCAAAACUGGCGAGCUAGAGUACGGUAGAGGGUAGUGGAAUUUCCUGUGUAGCGGUGAAAUGCGUAGAUAUAGGAAGGAACACCAGUGGCGAAGGCGACUACCUGACUGAUACUGACACUGAGGUC